rnacentral:lncRNA from 1 species
GUCAACUGUGCUUGAUUUUAUGGAUUUGAAGGUGGGAGAUGGUUUGAAAGGCUUCAUUCAUGUCCAUACAAGUCUCAUUUGACAUUUCAAAGAUCAAGAUUGGAGAAAAUAAAGUCAGACAAGAAGUUUCCUAAAAUAGCAGGUGACUUGUAAUUGGAAAUUGCCAAAAAUGGAAAGUUUUGCUCCUCAAAUUUACAUCAUCAUACAAGCUUCAAAUGAAUUUUUGUCCAACAUGAAAGUUGAAGAUCUUGUUCUCACCUUUCCAAAAAGUCCAAGAACAC